rnacentral:rRNA from 1 species
GGACUUGGCGGUGCUUUAUAUCCACCUAGAGGAGCCUGUUGUAUAAUCGAUAAACCCCGCUAAACCCUACCAUCAUUUGCUAAUCCAGUCUAUAUACCGCCAUCUUCAGCAAACCCUUAAAAGGAACCAAAGUAAGCUUAAUUAUACUUAAUAAAAACGUUAGGUCAAGGUGUAACUUAUAUGAUGGAAACUAAUGGGCUACAUUCUCUUUAAAAGAGUACUACGAACACCCUUAUGAAAAGUAAAGGUUAAAGGAGGAUUUAGUAGUAAGCCAAGAAUAGAGAGCUUGACUGAAUUAGGCCAUGAAGCACGCACACACCGCCCGUCACCCUCCUCAAAUGUUAUCUAAACAUAAACAUAUUAAAAUUGAAAUAAACACAAGAGGAGACAAGUCGUAACAAGGUAAGCAUACUGGAAAGUGUGCUUGGAUUAUU